rnacentral:rRNA from 1 species
GACGAACGCUGGCGGCGUGCCUAAUACAUGCAAGUAGAACGCUGAAGAGAGGAGCUUGCUCUUCUUGGAUGAGUUGCGAACGGGUGAGUAACGCGUAGGUAACCUGCCUUGUAGCGGGGGAUAACUAAUGGAAACGACAGCUAAUACCGCAUAACAAUGGAUGACACAUGUCAUUUAUUUGAAAGGGGCAAUUGCUCCACUACAAGAUGGACCUGCGUUGUAUUAGCUAGUAGGUGAGGUAAUGGCUCACCUAGGCGACGAUACAUAGCCGACCUGAGAGGGUGCUCGGCCACACUGGGACUGAGACACGGCCCAGACUCCUACGGGAGGCAGCAGUAGGGAAUCUUCGGCAAUGGGGGCAACCCUGACCGAGCAACGCCGCGUGAGUGAAGAAGGUUUUCGGAUCGUAAAGCUCUGUUGUAAGUCAAGAACGGGUGUGAGAGUGGAAAGUUCACACUGUGACGGUAGCUUAACAGAAAGGGACGGCUAACUACGUG